rnacentral:rRNA from 1 species
ACGCUCGACACCUACGGGAGGUAGCAGUGGGGAAUAUUGCACAAUGGGGGAAACCCUGAUGCAGCGACGCCGCGUGAGCGAAGAAGUAUUUCGGUAUGUAAAGCUCUAUCAGCAGGGAAGAAAUUGACGGUACCUGACUAAGAAGCACCGGCUAAAUACGUGCCAGCAGCCGCGGUAAUCUGAGCGGGCUGGCAAGGC